CCGACAGUGUGAGAGGUGAGGCUGAGCUGCUGCUGCCUCAUCUCUAUCUCUCCCUGCAACUGAAGGAUACCUGAAAGUCUGGUCCCAGCCAUACUACAUACUGUACAAAGCGCAGAUAAGCCUGGGUUCCAAUGCAAAGAUUGUACAUGUGACAUGGAACAUUGAAAUGUACACUUCUAUUCUACACACAUGAGAAGUACAGUAUAAUGACAGUAUCACAGAGAAGAGGAGACACAGGUCGUCUCUAGAUGCGCAGGACUCCAGCUUCAAUUCUCCUUCUGUGGUAAAAUAAGAUUUUACUCACAGCAAUAGCACAACCUUAAGAGGCACAUCCCAAAAGAUGAUUUCUUCCCUGGGAAACGCAUACUGUAUGACUCAACCUGGUCGCAUCAGUUUGUCACGUGGCUGCGUAUCU